rnacentral:rRNA from 1 species
CCUACGGGAGGCAGCAGUGAGGAAUAUUGGUCAAUGGGCGUAAGCCUGAACCAGCCAAGUCGCGUGAGGGAUGAAUGUUCUAUGGAUCGUAAACCUCUUUUAUAAGGGAAUAAAGUGUGGGACGUGUCCUAUUUUGUAUGUACCUUAUGAAUAAGGAUCGGCUAACUCCGUGCCAGCAGCCGCGGUAAUACGGAGGAUCCGAGCGUUAUCCGGAUUUAUUGGGUUUAAAGGGUGCGUAGGCGGCCUUUUAAGUCAGCUGUGAAAGUCUGUGGCUCAACCAUAGAAUUGCCGUUGAAACUGGGAGGCUUGAGUAUGUUUGAGGCAGGCGGAAUGCGUGGUGGAGCGGUGAAAUGCUUAGAUAUCACGCAGAACCCCGAUUGCGAAGGCAGACUGCCAAGCCAUGACUGACGCUGAUGCACGAAAGCGUGGGGAUCAAACAGGAUUAGAUACCCGGGUAGGC